UACAGAGGGUGCAAGCGUUGUUCGGAAUUAUUGGGCGUAAAGGGCGUGUAGGCGGUUUGCUAAGUCAUGUGUGAAAUCCCUCGGCUUAACCGAGGAACGACGCAUGAUACUGGCAAGCUAGAGUACCAAAGAGGCGAGUGAAAUUCCUGGUGUAGCGGUGAAAUGCGCAGAUAUCAGGAGGAACACCGGUGGCGAAGGCGGCAUCCUGGACCAACACUGACACUGAGGAGCGAAAGCCAGGGGAGCAAACGGG
rnacentral:rRNA from 1 species